UUUUAAAAAUCCUGUGAUUGUUGAUGCUAACACCCCCCGCUCCAAAAAAAUGUGUUUUAUUUACAGGGCACAGCUUAUGGAAGUGCUCCUGUUCCCUCUCGCAGGCAAUUAUUUUUUAAAUUCUGCUGGAUGGAAUUACCAUGGAUGGAAGGAUUAACUGUGCUAUUAAUAAGGAAGGUAGAAGGUGAGGAAUUACUCCUGUUUAAGUAUUUGCUUUCUGAAUGCCUGGCUUAAUUAACAAAGUUGAAUGAUCUGUGACAUGUCUGAUAGAAG
rnacentral:lncRNA from 11 species